rnacentral:rRNA from 1 species
GACGAACGCUGGCGGCGUGCUUAACACAUGCAAGUCGAACGGUGAAGCGCCUUCCUUUUUGGUGGGUGUGGAUGAGUGGCGAACGGGUGAGUAACACGUGAGUAACCUGCCCCCUUCUUCUGGAUAACCGCAUGAAAGUGUGGCUAAUACGGGAUAUUCUGGGUCUGUCGCAUGAUGGGUCUGGGAAAGAUAUUGUUUCGGUGGGGGAUGGGCUCGCGGCCUAUCAGCUUGUUGGUGGGGUGAUGGCCUACCAAGGCGGUGACGGGUAGCCGGCCUGAGAGGGUGGACGGUCACACUGGGACUGAGACACGGCACAGACUCCUACGGGAGGCAGCAGUGGGGAAUAUUGCACAAUGGGCGCAAGCCUGAUGCAGCGACGCCGCGUGAGGGAUGGAGGCCUUCGGGUUGUGAACCUCUUUCGCCAGUGAAGCAGGCCUGCCUCGUUUGUGGGUGGGUGGACGGUAGCUGGAUAAGAAGCGCCGGCUAACUACGU